AUUACCGCUCAUCCUAUUUAAAAUAUUAAUUUGAAUCAAGGCCACAAAAUCAAAAAAAUGCAAACUCAUUUAAAAAAUGUAAAAAAUAUAUACACUUCCUAAAUACUAAUUUUCACUUCCUAAAUUUUACACAUAUACACUUCCUAAAUAUACACUUCAUAAAUAAAAAUAUACACUUCCUAACAACACCACAACAUUGCAAUUGACCGGAAAAUCAAAGCAAACACAAAAUACAAAACAAAUAUAUACAUUUCCUAAAUACUAAAUACAAAUAUACACUUAUUAAAUAACAAUAUACACUUCCUAAAUACAAAUAUACACUUCCUAACAACACCACAACAUUGCAAUUAACCGGAAAAUAAAAGCAAACAUAAAAUAAAACUAAAGCUCAAAAACGUACUCGAGGAGGAGGAGGGAGGACCGGAGCAGCAGGAGGAGGAGGCCGGAGCAGGAGGAGGAGGAGGAGGAGGAGGAGGAGGCCGCAGGAGGAGGAGGAGGCCGGUCGGAGCAGGAGGAGGAGGCCGGGCGGAGAGGGAGAGGGAGCGGAGGCGGAGACCGGGAGAGGGAGAGGGAGAGGAGGCGGAGACCGGGAGAGUGAGAGGGAGAGGGCGGCGACCGAACGACCGAGGGAGCGGAGGCGGAGGAGGGGAAAUUCGGAGAGGGAGAGGAAAAGGAGGCUAGGGUUUACAACCAGUCGAGCGCUGGGUUAUACCCGAACACUUUAGCCGACGAAAUAAUUAUUUCGUCGGCUAACCUAACACUUUAGCCAACGAAAUAAUUAUUUCGUCGGUUAAAGAUAAUAAUCUCGUCAGCUAAGAUAAAAUUCGUCGGCUAAACCUUUGAAAUUCGUCCGCUAAACCUAUGAAAUUCGUCGGCUAAACACAAAAUUCGUCGGCUAUAACCAUUUAAAUUCGUCGGCUUUAUAACUUUUUAUACAUUCGUCAAACUGUGACUGCUGCUCGUGAUGAUCAAACUUUAGAACGAAAAUCCGACCGUCAGAUCUGACCAUCAUGAUAAAAUACAUGUAUGGGAAAAAAUUCAACUUGAUCCGACAAGGUUAAGGGCUCGAUCCGGACGGUCAAUCCGUUAAGUCAAACCCUAAAC
rnacentral:lncRNA from 1 species